UGGGGAAUAUUGGACAAUGGGCGCAAGCCUGAUCCAGCAACGCCGCGUGGAGGAUGAAGGCCUUCGGGUUGUAAACUCCUGUUAGGGGGAACGAAGGGUCGCGGGUUAACAGCCGGUGACCUUGACGGUACCUCCAGAGGAAGCCCCGGCUAACUCUGUGCCAGCAGCCGCGGUAAUACAGAGGGGGCGAGCGUUAUUCGGAAUUAUUGGGCGUAAAGGGCGCGUAGGCGGCUUGGCAAGUCAAAGGUGAAAUCCCUCGGCUCAACCGAGGAACUGCCUUUGAAACUGCCGGGCUCGAGGCCGGGAGAGGGUAGUGGAAUUCCCAGUGUAGCGGUGAAAUGCGUAGAUAUUGGGAGGAACACCGGUGGCGAAGGCGGCUACCUGGACCGGUUCUGACGCUGAGGCGCGAAAGCGUGGGGAGCAAACAG
rnacentral:rRNA from 1 species